GAUGAACGCUGGCGGCGUGCCUAAUACAUGCAAGUCGAGCGAACGGACGAGAAGCUUGCUUCUCUGACGUUAGCGGCGGACGGGUGAGUAACACGUGGAUAACCUACCUAUAAGACUGGGAUAACUUCGGGAAACCGGAGCUAAUACCGGAUAAUAUUUUGAACCGCAUGGUUCAAAAGUGAAAGACGGUCUUGCUGUCACUUAUAGAUGGAUCCGCGCUGCAUUAGCUAGUUGGUAAGGUAACGGCUUACCAAGGCAACGAUGCAUAGCCGACCUGAGAGGGUGAUCGGCCACACUGGAACUGAGACACGGUCCAGACUCCUACGGGAGGCAGCAGUAGGGAAUCUUCCGCAAUGGGCGAAAGCCUGACGGAGCAACGCCGCGUGAGUGAUGAAGGUCUUCGGAUCGUAAAACUCUGUUAUUAGGGAAGAACAAAUGUGUAAGUAACUGUGCACAUCUUGACGGUACCUAAUCAGAAAGCCACGGCUAACUACGUG
rnacentral:rRNA from 1 species